rnacentral:rRNA from 1 species
AACGAACGCUGGCGGCGUGCCUAACACAUGCAAGUCGAACGCGAAAGGGGGCAACCCCCGGUAGCGUGGCAGACGGGUGAGUAACACGUGGGUAACCUACCCGGAGGUGGGGGAUAACCCUUCGAAAGGAGGGCUAAUACCGCAUAAUACCGUGGGGACCUCGGUCCUUGCGAUCAAAGCUGGCCUCUGUUUACAAGCUAGCGCCACCGGAUGGGCCCGCGCCCCAUUAGCUAGUUGGUGAGGUAACGGCUCACCAAGGCGACGAUGGGUAGCCGGCCUGAGAGGGCGAUCGGCCACACUGGAACUGCGACACGGUCCAGACUCCUACGGGAGGCAGCAGUGAGGAAUCUUGCGCAAUGGGCGAAAGCCUGACGCAGCGACGCCGCGUGGAGGAUGAAGGUCUUCGGAUUGUAAACUCCUGUCGAGUGGGACGAAUGCCGUGAGGGUGAAUACCCCUUGCGGUU